AACGACUCUCGGCAACGGAUAUCUCGGCUCACGCAUCGAUGAAGAACGUAGCAAAAUGCGAUACUUGGUGUGAAUUGCAGAAUCCCGUGAACCAUCGAGUUUUUGAACGCAAGUUGCGCCCGAAGCCAUCCGGCCAAGGGCACGUCUGCCUGGGCGUCACGC
rnacentral:rRNA from 4 species